CUAAGCCAUGCGAGUCGAGAGGGUUCGGCCCUCGGCUGACGGCUCAGUAACACGUGGAUAAUCUGCCCUUAGGUGGAGGAUACCCUCGGGAAACUGAGAAUAAUACUCCAUAGGUCUAGGAUGCUGGAAUGCAUCUAGACUGAAAACUCCGGUGCCUAAGGAUGAGUCUGCGGACUAUCAGGUUGUAGUCAGGGUAAUGACCUGACUAGCCUACGACGGAUAUGGGUUGUGAGAGCAAUAACCCAGAGAUGAUAUCUGAGACACGAUAUCAGGCCCUACGGGGCGCAGCAGGCGCGAAAACUUCACACUGUGCGAAAGCACGAUGAGGGAAUCCCAAGUGCCAGCUCGUAAGAGUUGGCUGUUUUUCUGUCUAAAACACAGAGAGAGUAAGAGCUGGGUAAGACGGGUGCCAGCCGCCGCGGUAAUACCUGCAGCUCGAGUGGUGGCCGCUAUUAUUGGGCCUAAAACGUCCGUAGCCGGUUUAGUAAAUGCCUGGGUAAAUCGUGUAGCUUAACUAUACGAAUUCCGGGUAGACUGCUAAGCUUGAGACCGGGAGAGGCUAGAGGUACUCCUGGGGUAGAGGUGAAAUUCUGUAAUCCUGGGGGGACCACCAGUGGCGAAGGCGUCUAGCUAGAACGGAUCUGACGGUGAGGGACGAAGCCCUGGGGCGCAAACCGGAUUAGAUACCCGGGUAGUCCAGGGUGUAAACGCUGCUUGCUUGAUGUUAGUUGGGCUCCGAGCCCAAUUAGUGUCGGAGAGAAGUUGUUAAGCAAGCUGCCUGGGAAGUACGGUCGCAAGGCUGAAACUUAAAGGAAUUGGCGGGGGAGCACAGCAACGGGUGGAGCGUGCGGUUU
rnacentral:rRNA from 1 species